UACAGAGGUCUCAAGCGUUGUUCGGAUUCAUUGGGCGUAAAGGGUGCGUAGGCGGCGCCGUAAGUCUGGUGUGAAAUCCCGGAGCUCAACUCCGGAAUUGCACUGGAUACUGCGGUGCUCGAGGACUGGAGAGGAGACUGGAAUUCACGGUGUAGCAGUGAAAUGCGUAGAUAUCGUGAGGAAGACCGGUGGCGAAGGCGGGUCUCUGGACAGUUCCUGACGCUGAGGCACGAAGGCCAGGGGAGCAAACGGGG
rnacentral:rRNA from 1 species